CAUCAUCUCCAACGGGCUAUCUCAGCACAACAAGUAUAUGGAGAGAAGAGGGAUAACAUGGUUAUACCGGUUCCAGAAGCAGAAAGUAAUAUUGCGUACUAUGAAUCUAUAUAUCCUGGAGAAUUUAAAAUGCCAAAGCAGCUGAUUCACAUACAGCCUUUUAGUUUGGAUGCUGAACAGCCGGAUUAUGACUUGGAUUCAGAAGAUGAGAUCUUUGUGAAUAAGUUGAAGAAAAGAAUGGACAUCUCUCCUUUGCAAUUUGAGGAGAUGAUAGACAGACUAGAAAAGGGCAGUGGUCAGCAGCCAGUCAGCCUGCAAGAGGCCAAGCUGUUGCUGAAGGAGGAUGAUGAAUUGAUUAGAGAAGUGUAUGAGUACUGGAUUAAAAAGAGGAAAAACUGUCGAGGUCCCUCUCUUAUUCCAGCAGUGAAACAAGAGAAGCGAGAUGGCUCCAGCACAAAUGAUCCCUACGUUGCUUUUAGAAGACGAACAGAAAAGAUGCAGACACGAAAAAAUCGAAAAAAUGAUGAAGCAUCUUACGAGAAGAUGCUUAAGCUGCGUCGAGAUCUGAGUCGUGCAGUAACCAUACUGGAGAUGAUAAAGAGGAGGGAAAAAAGCAAGAGAGAGUUGCUGCAUUUAACACUGGAAAUUAUGGAAAAGAGGUAUAAUUUGGGUGACUACAGUGGAGAGAUCAUGUCUGAGGUCAUGGCACAACGGCAGCUGAUUAAACCUACCUAUGCUAUUCCCAUCAUUCCUGUGACUAACAGCAGUCCUUUUAAACACCAAGAAGCUAUGGAGCUGAAAGAAUUUAAAGUUAAACAAGAUAAACCUGAUGUUAUUAGACCCAAAAGAAAGUAUGAGAAGAAGCCAAAAGUCUUACCUUCUGCUGCUGCUGCUCCUCAACAGACAAGUCCUGCUGCACUGCCAGUCUUUAAUGCUAAAGAUUUGAAUCAGUAUGACUUUCCUAGCUCAGAUGAAGAACCUCUCUCCCAGGUUUUGUCUGGUUCUUCGGAGGCUGAGGAGGAGAAUGAUCCCGAUGGUCCUUUCGCCUUCCGUAGGAAAGCAGGCUGUCAGUACUAUGCUCCUCAUUUAGACCAACCUGGCAACUGGCCAUGGAGUAGCCCUAAAGAGGGAAGAUUAGGAGAUGUGCGUUACAGAUACUGCUUAACCACCCUCACUGUACCACAGAGGUGUAUUGGGUUUGCACGAAGACGGGUCGGCCGUGGUGGAAGGGUGCUACUAGACAGAGCGCAUUCGGACUACGAUAAUACAUUUCAUCAGCUGGAUUUGGAAAUGUUUUCCUCAUCACAACACUCCUCAAUCAGUCAAUUUGCCAAUACCUCAGAAACAAAUACCUCGUCGGACAAAUCUUUCUCAAAAGACCUCAGUCAGAUACUAGUCAAUAUCAAAUCAUGUAGAUGGCGGCAUUUUAGGCCUCGGACACCAUCCCUACAUGACAGUGACAAUGAUGAACUCUCCUGUAGGAAAUUAUACAGGGGUAUAAAUCGAACAGGCACAGCACAACCCGGGACCCAGACAUGCAGUACCUCUAUACAAAGUAAAAGUAGCAGUGGUUCAGCACAUCUUGAAAGUGAAACAUCUUUGGGCCUGGUGCAUCAAAUACUAAAUCACACUGAUGGCUCUAAGUCUCUCCAAUCUUCCGAAUUCACUGGUGAGAACUUGCUAUACAGUAGAAAAUCUUUAACCAGGCAAUCAUUUACAGCCGAACAAUACCAGCAACAUCAACAGCAACUGGCACUAAUGCAGAAACAGCAGCUUGCACAAAUUCAUCAACAGCAAGCAAAUAGUAAUUCCUCUGCCAACACAUCACAGAACCUUGAAACUAACCAACAGGAAAGUGGCUUUCGCCUGAAUCUACAUCAUAGCCAUUCUGUAAAGUGUUUAGAAGGGACACUGCAGGGUUUUGUUUCCAAGACACUGGAUUCUGUUAGUGCUCAAUUUGCUGCUUCAGCUUUGGUUACAUCAGAACAACUGAUGGGAUUCAAAAUGAAGGAUGAUGUGGUGCUUGGAAUUGGGGUGAAUGGCAUUCUUCAAGCCUCAGGAGUGUACAAGGGCUUACACCUCAGUAGUACUACACCUACAGCACUUGUCCAUACAAGUUCAUCAUCAACAGCAGGUUCAGCCUUGUUACAGCCUUCAAAUAUAACGCAGACUUCAAGUUCCCACAGUGCACUGAGUCACCAAGUAACUGCUGCCAAUUCUGCAACAACUCAGGUUCUGAUUGGGAACAACAUUCGAUUAACUGUACCCUCAUCAGUUGCCACUGUAAACUCUAUUACCACACUCAAUGCACGACAUAUACCUAGGACUUUAAGUGCUGUUCCAUCAUCUGCCUUAAAGCUGGCUGCAGCAACAAAUUGUCAGGUGCCCAAGGUUCCAGCUUCAUCCUCCGUGGAUGCAGUACCAAGGGAAAACCAUGAAGCGGAGAAGCCAGCACUGAACAAUAUAGCGGACAAUACAGUAGCAAUGGAGGUGACGUAGU